GUGUCAGCCGCCGCGGUAAUACGAAGGGUGCAAGCGUUAAUCGGAAUUACUGGGCGUAAAGCGCGCGUAGGUGGUUUGGUAAGAUGGAUGUGAAAUCCCCGGGCUCAACCUGGGAACUGCAUCCAUAACUGCCUGACUAGAGUACGGUAGAGGGUGGUGGAAUUUCCUGUGUAGCGGUGAAAUGCGUAGAUAUAGGAAGGAACACCAGUGGCGAAGGCGACCACCUGGACUGAUACUGACACUGAGGUGCG
rnacentral:rRNA from 1 species